CAUGACAAAAUGAAGAGUAUGGGGAGUGUUCUUCCUCACAUCAGGUCAUUUCAGCAAUGAGGCACCAGGAAUAAACACCAGCAAGUGGGCAGAGGAGAACUUGUACCAGCUUCAGUGCUGCAGUCAAUGCAUCGUGUCAUCACAACCUGUUUCUGUGUUGCAUGUACUUACUGAAGAGAGCACUUCGCUGCUGCUGCCACUCCCAAAUAGUAUCUGCUCUUAAGGACUUAAAGCAUGGAAUAGAUAGCCUCCCUCAACAUCGCCACUGAAGUGGAGUCAGGUGGAGGGAAUGGAGCAGAUGUAGAGGUAUUGCUGGACCAGGAAACACAGAGCAGGAAGGUAGCACAAAGGAGGUCAAAGUGCAUCUGCGAGAUACAGUGUCAGCAUUUGUGCCCGGUAAUCUUAAUAUUGUUUGUUACUGCAUGGAUCUAGAAUGUUUAUAAGUGAAUGAUCUACAGAUCUCUCACUACUAAUCAAAGACUAAUUAGUAAUUCUAAAUCUCUUUUGUAACAGGGUAAUUCCUUUGUUUUCAGUUUAUCUACUUCAUGCUGAUG
rnacentral:lncRNA from 1 species